rnacentral:rRNA from 1 species
AACGAACGCUGGCGGCAUGCCUAACACAUGCAAGUCGAACGAGACCUUCGGGUCUAGUGGCGCACGGGUGCGUAACGCGUGGGAACCUGCCCUUAGGUUCGGAAUAACUCCCCGAAAGGGGUCCUAAUACCGGUUAAGGUCUUCGGACAAAGGAUUUAUCGCCUUUGGAUGGGCCCGCGUUGGAUUAGCUAGUUGGUAGGGUAAAAGCCUACCAAGGCGACGAUCCAUAGCUGGUCUGAGAGGAUGAUCAGCCACACUGGGACUGAGACACGGCCCAGACUCCUACGGGAGGCAGCAGUGGGGAAUAUUGGACAAUGGGCGAAAGCCUGAUCCAGCAAUGCCGCGUGAGUGAUGAAGGCCUUAGGGUUGUAAAGCUCUUUUACCCGGGAUGAUAAUGACAGUACCGGGAGAAUAAGCUCCGGCUAACUCCGUG